rnacentral:tRNA from 1 species
AGCUCAGUGGUGGAGCACGUGUCUAGCAUUCAUGAGUCCCUAGGUUUGAACCCUAG